rnacentral:pre_miRNA from 1 species
UAACGCGGAAUUAGAUUGUGAUCUUUUUUAUGUUGAUAGAUUAACGUAUGAAGAGUAUACUAUAUAUAUAUCUCAAUCUAAUAUGGCGUUA